UAACACUGAGAAACAAUCUAUAGUUUUCUGUCCUCCAAAUUUCAAAUACUUCUUUUUUUCUUCUGGGGAAUUCUUGAAACCCAACAUGGCCUUCAAGUUUCUCCAAAACCAUCCAAUUCUUGCUCUAAUUCUAGCUUUGUUAUCCGCCCAUGAAAUUUUGUACACAGUCUUUGCUGCCUCUGGUGGCAGAAUGGGUGGUUCUUCCUUCGCUUCAGAGGAAGAAUCAUCUUCAUGUUCGUCUUCUAAGUCUUACAAUAUAUAUCAUUAUGACAAUAACCCAAGAUUUAUUAGUGGAUAUAUUGAUUACUCUGUGGGGAUUUAUCUUUCGAUCGCUUAUCUUAAUAGAGCAAGUGUUCUCAGGGUUCAGGUUGGGUUAUCAGGCAUGGCUCAUUCAAUUCAAAGAGAACUUAAUACACUUGCUACAGCUGUAGACACAUCUAAAAACAAGAGCUUCCACUUCUUCUUAACAGAGUCUGCAGUAGCUCUGCUUUGACAUGGAAAUUACUGGAUUUCUGGUUAUUCAUCUGUGGAACGGAGGUGGAAUCUUGAAGCUGUGGAAAAGGAACUCAGACAACUUUCAACUGAUGAGAGGUUGAAAUAUGACAUUGAGUCGCUUGUCAAUGUUGACAACAUGAAAGUACAAAGAACCUUUAUCCCAAGGAACAACAAAGUUGAAAAAAAUCACAUAGUGGUAACAAUCCUGGUAGCUGUUAAAGGUACAUUAAAUCUACCUGAAAUUAAAAGUACUGAAGACUUGAGGACAGCCUUGCAUUACUUGAAUACCAUCAGUUCCAAUAAUACACUGGCUGUAGAGGUGCUUUGGAGCCCGCAGGCAGAACAUGAUACAUUGUCAGAGGAUGAAUUGCUUGAAAACUACCUUCUUUUGAGGCCGAUAUGAUAAUGAUAAUUGCAAUCUGUUUGGAAGUCUGUAUGGCAUAUACCAUUUUCGGCUCGUAAAGGCACUUGAAGAAGAAAAUAAAUU